UAAUGCCUCUCUGUAUUUAUAAAUGUAGAUGGUCAGUAUAUAUAAUGCCUAUCUCUAUAUAUACUACACCCCUACUUAUAAAUGUACACUGUCAGUAUAUAUACUUCACCACCUAUUUAUAUAUGUAGACUGUCAGUAUAUAUAUAACCUCAAAAUUUUACACUGGUCAUAUUUCCUAGGAGUUUUGAGACAAACGGCGCCCCAUAUAUAUGUGCUGCCAUUGUGUUGCGUUAGUUUUAGUUAAGUGUUUGUGUUUAGUGUUUGUGAGUGUUGUUGUGCUCAAAAUGAGAAAGUGUCCCUACUAAAGUUACCCUUAAACGAGCAUGCUGACUAUAAAAGUGCCCAGGACAGCUCUGACCGGAUGCAACGGGAAAUGAAAAAAUGGCAAAAGAUGAAUUUGUUUAAGUCUUGCAAAAAGACGCCCUUGACAGUAUAAUGCACAUUCUUUCUCUUCUUUUUGAUACGCCUUCUUCCUGAGUAUAGCGUGAGCUCUCGCACGAGGUAGUUCGUUCAAACCAGAACAAAAAAAAUGGCUGAAAGUUCAUUUCAUGUUCUUCCAAACAAACGUGCUAGGCACGGUUUUAGGUACCAACUGGAGCUGAAGUUCGAGACGGAGGAGGCCAAGAAGACGUUCGGGGACAAAAUGGACAGCGCUAAGCGUGUUCUUGCUGCCAGAGGCUCAUUGCCCUUGGACAACAGAGAGCUUCUCUCUAGAUUGUUGGACAAUAUGGAGGAACUGGCAGCUGAAGGUAUAGUUACAACUGACAGAGUUUGCCCUGGCUCUAAUCGAUCUUAUGUCGUGCCCAUGUUGGAGAAUUCAGGUUUGUCAUUUCUGAUAUUAAUUUUUAUAUGACGAAGAAGUUAGUAAUAAUUGUAUCACUGGCAAUGCCAACGCCAGUGACGACCAGUUUUCUUCAUUUGUGAGCAAACAACAUUUUCCCGUCUGUGUGCUAGUCUAUCCCAACCAUGUCAGUGCCAGUCAUACUCUCUUCAGGUAGCGCCUAAUUUAUACGAGUGUCUGUAAACAUUUUUUUGUAGAAGGGGCACGUCCUCCGCAUUGAAUUUCAAUGUGACAAUUGCGGAAGGCGUCAGUGGUGGGCUAGCUCACGAACACUAGGUGGACGAUACAUUGUCAACCAGAAGAUCGUUCAUGCUUUCACGUGUGCUGGAGUUCUACCAAGUCAGUACAUCCACUUCAGUAGCAAUGCCGGUGCAUGGUUCUCUAAUGGCAUAAUAAUAAUAAUGUAUGGUUACAGUGUAUAACAAAGGAGGGUACUUAGACACUGUGGACUUGGACACUGUGGACGCGUGUGCUGAAGGCAGUGAAAGCAACACCUAAUUACUCUACCAAUGGCGAGUGGGUAAUAACAGAUGCUCGCCACGACUCUACAGCCAACGCGUAUAAUACCACCGUUCCUUGUCUGUCAGGAAGCACGAAAAGAAUUGUUGGAUGCUCGACUGUGUCAAGAAAAGAACAUAUUUGUGCACAGACUCGAGAAGUUGCGUGUACCAAAAUAGUUCUUCCUCAAGUUCUGGAAAAAGGUCUCAACAUUGUUGAAGUAGCUCAUGACAAUCAACCUGUAGUGAAGAAAUACGUCACUGAUGAGCUGAACCUUUUGAAUUCAUACGACACCUGGCACGGCACCAAGAAUGUUGCCAAGAAGAUGACUAAACUAGCAGUUGGGACCAAGAAGACUCAAGGAUUAUCUGACAAACGUAUGGCUGAGCCACAUAAACAUAAUUCCCACCAGGUAAAGGUACAAAAGUCCACUUGUACUACUGUAUGAAGAACUGUGCUCAGUCAGCAGAAAAGCUACGGAAAAGCAUUUUGAAUAUCAGCAAACAU